AUUGCGCCUGGGCCACGGCCAAAGCCGCCUGGUUCUGCCGAAGCCGGUCAGAGAGUUCCAGACGUUGGGUGGUG
rnacentral:tRNA from 1 species